GCGCACAGUACCGCAUGGUACAGUGUGAAAAACUCCAGUGGUACAGGAUGGACCCGCGUCUGAUUAGCUGGUUGGAGGGGUAACGUCCCACCAAGGUGACGAUCAGUAGCCGGCCUGAGAGGGUGAACGGCCACAUUGGGACUGAGACACGGCCCAACCUCGUACGGGAGGCAGCAGUGGGGAAUAUUGCACAAUGGGGGAAACCCUGAUGCAGUGACGCCGCGUGAGUGAAGAAGUAUUUCGGUAUGUAAAGCUCUAUCAGCAGGGAAGAUAAUGACGGUACUUGACUAAGAAGCCCCGGCUAAUUACGUGCCAGCAGCCGCGGUAAUAAGAGGGGGCAAGCGUUAUCCGGAUUUACUGGGUGUAAAGGGAGCGUAGCCGGCAUGGCAAGUCUGAUGUGAAAGCCCGCGGCUUAACUGCGGGACUGCAUUGGAAACUGUUAAGCUGGAGUGCAGGAGAGGUAAGUGGAAUUCCUAGUGUAGCGGUGAAAUGCGUAGAUAUUAGGAGGAACACCAGUGGCGAAGGCGGAUUGCUGGACGACAACUGACGGUGAGACGCGAAAGCGUGGGGAGCAAACAGGAUUAGAUACCCUGGUAGUCCACGCUGUAAACGAUGAAUACUAGGUGUGCGGGGACUGACCCCCUGCGUGCCGCAGCUAACGCAAUAAGUAUUCCACCUGGGGAGUACGAUCGCAAGGUUGAAACUCAAAGGAAUUGACGGGGGCCCGCACAAGCGGUGGAUUAUGUGGUUUAAUUCGAAGCAACGCGAAGAACCUUACCAGGACUUGACAUCCAACUAACGAAGUAGAGAUACAUUAGGUGCCCUUCGGGGAAAGUUGAGACAGGUGGUGCAUGGUUGUCGUCAGCUCGUGUCGUGAGAUGUUGGGUUAAGUCCCGCAACGAGCGCAACCCCUAUUGUUAGUUGCUACGCAAGAGCACUCUAGCGAGACUGCCGUUGACAAAACGGAGGAAGGCGGGGACGACGUCAAAUCAUCAUGCCCCUUAUGUCGUGGGCUACACACGUAAUACAAUGGCCGUCAACAAUGGGAAGCAAAGCCGCGAGGUGGAGCAAAUCCCCAAAAACGGUUUCAGUUCGGAUUGCAGGCUGCAACUCGCAUGCAUGAAGCUGGAAUUGCUAGUAAUCGUGGAUCAGCAUGCCCCGGUGAAUACGUUCCCGGGCCUUGCACACACCGCCCGU
rnacentral:rRNA from 1 species